UACGGAGGGUGCGAGCGUUAAUCGGAAUAACUGGGCGUAAAGGGCACGCAGGCGGUUGUUUAAGUGAGAUGUGAAAUCCCCGAGCUUAACUUGGGAACUGCAUCUCAGACUGGACAACUAGAGUACUUUAGGGAGGGGUAGAAUUCCACGUGUAGCGGUGAAAUGCGUAGAGAUGUGGAGGAAUACCGAAGGCGAAGGCAGCCCCUUGGGAAGAUACUGACGCUCAUGUGCGAAAGCGUGGGUAGUGAACG
rnacentral:rRNA from 1 species